rnacentral:rRNA from 1 species
GCUUAGCCCUAAACAUAAAUAGUACAAUACACCCACUAUUCGCCCGGGGACUACGAGCAUUAGCUUAAAACCCAAAGGACUUGGCGGUGCUUUAGAUCCACCUAGAGGAGCCUGUUCUAGAACCGAUAACCCCCGUUCAACCUCACCCUUCCUUGCUCUUUUCCGCCUAUAUACCGCCGUCGCCAGCUUACCCUAUGAAGGACUUACAGUAAGCAAAAUUGGCACAGCCCAGAACGUCAGGUCGACGUGUAGCGUAUGGAAGGGGAAGAAAUGGGCUACAUUCCCUAACACAGUGAACACGAAAGGCGCACUGAAACGUGCACCAUGAAGGAGGAUUUAGCAGUAAGCAGGAAGUAGAGUGUCCCGCUGAAACCGGCCCUGAAGCGCGC